AUUGAACGCUGGCGGCAUGCUUUACACAUGCAAGUCGAACGGCAGCGCGGACUUCGGUCUGGCGGCGAGUGGCGAACGGGUGAGUAAUAUAUCGGAACGUACCCAAGAGUGGGGGAUAACGUAGCGAAAGUUACGCUAAUCCCGCAUACCAUCUAAGGAUGAAAGCAGGGGAUCGCAAGCCCUUGUGCUCCUGGAGCGGCCGAUAUCUGAUUAGCUAGUUGGUGAGGUAAAGGCUCACCAAGGCAACGAUCAGUAGCUGGUCUGAGAGGACGACCAGCCACACUGGAACUGAGACACGGUCCAGACUCCUACGGGAGGCAGCAGUGGGGAAUUUUGGACAAUGGGGGCAACCCUGAUCCAGCAAUGCCGCGUGAGUGAAGAAGGCCUUCGGGUUGUAAAGCUCUUUUGUCAGGGAAGAAAAGGCUGUGGCUAAUAUCCACAGCUGCUGACGGUACCUGAAGAAUAAGCACCGGCUAACUACGUGCCAGCCGCCGCGGUAA
rnacentral:rRNA from 1 species